AUGCUUAACCUGGCAGAUGAAAUGUCAAAAUCUCAAAGACGGUUUUCUCAGGGUUAGGCCUAUUCAUUGCACUUCAGGUGUGCUGACCCCUGCAGUUUCCCCAAAUAUUGGAACUUGACUGCAUAUUUUGUGGCACUGGCGGACUACAUUUAUACUGUCCCCUG
ensembl:snRNA RNU1-73P RNA, U1 small nuclear 73, pseudogene